GGCUAAGAUUUACCUAGCAAAAGGCAUGCUUUUCUCCAGCCGCCCAGCGUCCGUCAAAACCUUGUGUCCUCCACAUUCACCCCCGAAUCCAGCAGGCAAGCUGGUGUCACUUAACUGCCCGCUAAGUUUGUAAAAGAGGGGCAUAUCGUUGCAGUCGAUAAAGUUACUCUUAAGCCUCAGCAAUCAGGGAGACUUAGAUUUUAAUCCUAUCUCUUACACAUAACUGAAUUGUGACUCUGGGCAAAUCAUUGCCCCUGAAAAAUUCCCUGGUAAGUCGGUCAUCAUUUUAUUAAAAUCUCAGCCAGGCACCGUACCGAAUGCUGGAGAUACAAACAAAAGCAAAAGGAGCUCUCCACCUAUUCGGAGAGACAACAUAGGGGAAAAAAUGUUUGUAUAAACAAGCUAUUUAUGGGAUAACUUGGAAACAAUCAAUAGUGGAAGGGAACUAGAAUUGUGGGAAAUCAGGAAGCAGUUAAUGAUUUGUCCUGAUUGAGGAAGAUUUCCCUCCAAAUUCCCUCAUCAAUGAAAUCACAAAUUCAGGAACCCACCCCCAAAAGUAGUGUAAAAUUCCGAAUAGUAUGUAGCUGGGGAGCUCCCCAAAAUAAAGGCUACCAAGAACAGUGGCUGCCUGUACAUCUGUCAUUUUCAGCUCGUGUUCAAGUUUUGUCUGUGACAUCUCACAUCAAGAUAAUGUCUCCAGUAACACAAUUUGGAAUCGUAGUCAUCGCAACAACAUUCAUCAACAUAAUCUCUCCCAGGCUUUACCCACCUGGAAAGACUUUGAGUGAAUGUAUGUCAUCUGAAAAUUCACCUUAGUUAAAUGUGGAAAAGCUUAUCACCAGGAUGGUCUCAGAAUGAUGAAUUAUGCAGCCACAGCAACUCUUAAAAACUAUCUACUAAGUCAUAGUGGUCAGUAUAAAUGGCGGUGCUUGAAGAGAGAGCAAUUUCAACUGCCCAAACCACCGAAAUCAUAAAUCUUUGAAGUGGCAUAACAGCUCAUAGACUAUUGUGUCUUAAGUUAGCACCACAGUACAAAGGAAUUGAGGUUUUUAUUUUAUUUUAUUUUUUAAGAAUCAUCGAUCAGAGGAGAGACGCUAAAUGAGCACCCUAAUGCAAAUACCAACAACAAGGAAAUGGGUUCAGAGCAAGGACACAUGUGAUACCCAGAUGAAUCUCCUCUCAGCUAGAGAAGGGGUGGCGGGGAGGAAAAGAAAAUGAUCUGUUUCCAAUGAACAAUGUAUGAAAAUGACCAAAUAAAAUAAUGUUUUAAAAACUAAAAAAAAAAAAA
rnacentral:lncRNA from 1 species